CCUACGGGAGGCAGCAGUAGGGAAUCUUGCGCAAUGGGCGAAAGCGUGACGGAGCGACGCCGCGUGAGUGACGAAGGUCUUCGGAUCGUAAAGUUCUGUUGUUAGAGAAGAAAGUGCGUGAAAGUAACUGUUCACGUAUCGACGGUAUCUAUCCAGAAAGCCACGGCUAACUACGUGCCAACAGCCGCGGUAAUACGGAGGGGGCAAGCGUUGUUCGGAGUUAUUGGGCGUAAAGGGCACGCAGGCGGUCUUUUAAGUCUGAUGUCAAAGACUUGGGCUUAACCGUAGUAAGGCAAUUGAUACUGGGAUACUUGAGUGUAGGAGAGGAGAGUGGAAGUCCAUGUGUAGCGGUGAAAUGCGUAGAUAUAUGGAAGAAUACCAGUGGCGAAGGCGGCACUCUGGCUUGUAACUGACGCUGAGGUUCGAAAGCGUGGGUAGCAAACAGGAUUAGAUACCCGAGUAGUC
rnacentral:rRNA from 1 species